UACAGAGGGUGCGAGCGUUAAUCGGAUUUACUGGGCGUAAAGCGCGCGUAGGUGGCUAAUUAAGUCAAAUGUGAAAUCCCCGAGCUUAACUUGGGAAUUGCAUUCGAUACUGGUUAGCUAGAGUAUGGGAGAGGAUGGUAGAAUUCCAGGUGUAGCGGUGAAAUGCGUAGAGAUCUGGAGGAAUACCGAUGGCGAAGGCAGCCAUCUGGCCUAAUACUGACACUGAGGUGCGAAAGCAUGGGGAGCAAGCAGG
rnacentral:rRNA from 1 species